rnacentral:rRNA from 1 species
GGACCUGACUGCUAUCGGAUUGAUACUAAGCCAUGCGAGUCAUUGUAGUAAUACAAGGCAGACGGCUCAGUAACGCGUAGUCAACCUACCCUAUGGACGGGAAUAACCUCGGGAAACUGAGAAUAAUGCCCGAUAGAACAUUAUACCUGGAAUGGUUUAUGUUCCAAAUGAUUUAUCGCCGUAGGAUGGGACUGCGGCCUAUCAGUUUGUUGGUGAGGUAAUGGCCCACCAAGACUAUUACAGGUACGGGCUCUGAGAGGAGUGGCCCGGAGAUGGGUACUGAGACACGGACCCAGGCCCUAUGGGGCGCAGCAGGCGAGAAAACUUUGCAAUGUGCGAAAGCACGACAAGGUUAAUCCGAGUGGUUUCUGCUAAAGAGACCUUUUGUCGGUCCUAGAAACACCGAUGAAUAAGGGGUGGGCAAGUUCUGGUGU